CCGAAUGGGGAAAACCCACUCCGCAAGGAGUAUCCCCAGACUGAAUCCAUAGGUCUGGGAGGCGAACCGGGUGAACUGAAACAUCUAAGUAGCCCGAGGAAAAGAAAUCAACCGAGAUUCCCCUGAGUAGUGGCGAGCGAACGGGGAAGAGCCUGCAAGUGAUAGCAGUUUUGUUAAUGGAAUGGAAUGGAAAGUCCGGCCGUAGUGGGUGAUAGCCCCGUACAUGAAAACAUUGCUGUGGUACUAAGUUUGCGACAAGUAGGGCGGGGCACGUGAAACCCUGUCUGAACAUGGGGGGGACCAGUCCUCCAAGGCUAAAUACUCGUGAUCGACCGAUAGUGAACAAGUACCGUGAGGGAAGGCGAAAAGACCCCGGGAGGGAGUGAAAUAGAACCUGAAACCGC
rnacentral:rRNA from 1 species